UACGGGGGAUGCAAGCGUUAUCCGGAAUUACUGGGCGUAAAGAGUCUGUAGGUGGUUUAUUAAGUCUACUGUUAAAUAUUGGGGCCCAACCCUAAAAAAGGAGUAGAAACUACUAAACUUGAGUAUGGUAUGGGUAAAGGGAAUUCCCAGUGUAGCGGUGAAAUGCGUAGAUAUUGGGAGGAACACCGGUGGCGAAAGCGAUUGGCUGGGCCAUCUCUGACGCUGAGGCGCGAAAGCCAGGGGAGCGAACGGG
rnacentral:rRNA from 1 species